GUCAUUUCAUGGUCCAAGCUAGGUAUUACAAAUAGCUUCCCUUUCAGCUUUAUACCUUUCAUCAUCAGAGCUGUUAGGCCUCGCUUAUUAUGGGCUUCUAGAGUGGACCAGCCUUACUCAUGGAUAAACUGGCUUCAUAUCAAACAGCAAGUCUUGUUUUUCUGGAUGAUGCAGAUUUUUUUUUUUUCUUCCUGAAUUGAUUCUUUAUUUUGGGAUUGGAAAAGGCUUACCGAUAAAGAGAAGGGAAGGAGAUCUUAAAAGCCAUGUAAUGCCUCAUAAAUGUAAGAAAAUGAGCCCUGGGGACAUGGGCAUGAAGUUUUGGUACCCUCUGCGAGAGCCUGGGAGGAUGUUCUAUUCUGUACUGGCAGUACUCUGCAUCAUGGACCAAAUCUCCAGAAAUCAGCUGCGUCCCAGUGAAGUUAGUGGAGUUCUGCUGGUUCAGCAAAAUGGGUCAGAACUGCGCUCUUUCUGCUGGGUGUUUCAGUUUGACCUUCUCCCAUAGAUGCGCAUGGAUUGUGCUCCAUAAAAUAACUUGAAUGUUCAGUAGAAUGUGAAUGGGAUGAGGAAAGGAAAAUUUUGAAGCAAAAUGUUUAGCGUCAUCAAAAGCUUGAAACCAGAUAAAUGUCUCCAUUUUUCUAAAAAUGGUAAAUAUCAGACAUUUUACUUAGAUCUGGAAAGAAACUGUAUUAAAAUUUUAACAUUUCCCAUGAUGACUGGGAAAUUUGGUUAGCCAAAGAAAAGGGGGGUUUGUAAUAUGGUAUUGUUAUUUUGAUAGAAAAGAAAAUCACUAUUAUAGGGUAUUGUAUCAGUGCUGAUGAGUUGAUGCAUCAUUAAAAGAAACUCUGAGAAAGAUCUCUUACUUACCAUUAACUGUCUGAAUUCAUCUCUAACCUGUAGCUUAGGGAAGCAAAGCAAAGAAGUGAUGCUGGCUGUUGGUUGAUUGUGUUGGUAAUUGGGAUGCAAGAACAGGGAGGCCCUUCCUGGAGGGUUGCACAUGAGACCUUAGUGCACCCCUACAGUUUCUUUUAUAAUACAUUUCACCCUUUCAGUAGGUAGUCGUAUUUUUUGAGAGAAAUUACGGAUUUUGGUUUGAGUUUUGUAACUGGUCGUCUUUUCCAAAGGAAAAUUUGGCAAUCUGAACUGCAAACUCCAGCAGGCAUCCGACACGUGCUUUCGAGAAGGUGAUUAUUCUCUGUCGCU
rnacentral:lncRNA from 1 species